rnacentral:sRNA from 1 species
AUGCACAGAAGGUGAACUGAAGGAGGCUCCACCAUGGAAGCGGCAGCCUUUCUCCUGGAUCCUGUUGCAUACCCUGCAGGUGUAGGUUGCUGGCACAUUGCCUCCACCUGGGGGCUGUCAGAUGGGACCUCUCACCCUGGCGCAGUGAGAGGUUAAGAACAGGCUUUCAAGAAGACAGACCUGUCUGACACACAGCAUUCAUUCAUCUAACAACUGUGUUGUGCUGGGCACUGUUCUAGGAAGCCGAGAUACUUCAGAGGUUCAGCAAGGAGUUGAGGAGGUUCAUAUGCAUUCAGUGAAUGUUUGCUGAUGAAGUUGAGCGUUAUGAUGAAGCUGCUCAGCUCGGAGGAUGAGGUUCUGGUGGGCAACGCUGCCCUCUGCCUUGGUAACUGCAUGGAGGUGCCCAACGUUGCGUCUUCCCUGCUAAAGACGGACCUUUUGCAGGUCUUGUUAAAGCUCGCAGGCAGUGACACACAGAAGACGGCCGUGCAAGUGAACGCAGGCAUUGCUCUGGGGAAGCUGUGCACAGCUGAGCCCAGGUUUGCUGCUCAACUGAGAAAGCUUCAUGGCCUAGAAAUUCUCAACUCUACGAUGAAAUACGUCAGUGAUUCUUGAGAGAUGCAGGGUUUGUGUGCCUUUGGGGAACACACAGAUGCACACUGUGUGUUGUUCCUAUGCUAAUAAAGACCUUUGAUAUAUCCA